CCCAUACUGAUGGUGGUUCUUCACAUCCAUCUCCCACUAACAAUGGAAAUUGACUCUUUCAAUGGUCCAGUCUGACCCUGCAUUUGGAGAACAAGUUCUAGCACUGCAUCAUUUGAAGAAUAAGUCGUUUGACAUUUUAAUCCAUUCUAUUUUACUGUUUCAACUUUAAUUGCACUCAUUGUAAUUAAACAAUAUCACUUUGUCUCUAUCUUAGUUUGGGCCAUUUCAAUAUAGUUUGUCAAUCUAUUUUUGGGUCAAAUUUUGCUCGUCUCAAAUGAUCAUUAAGGACAAUUUUUGGAUGAA